CCCUUAGAUGUCCGGUGCCGCACGCGCGCUACACUGAAGGAAUCAGCGUGGCUUUCUCCCUGACCCGAAAGGGUUGGGAAACCCGUUGAAUCUCCUUCGUGAUAGGGAUUGGGGCUUGAAAUUGUUCCCCAUGAACGAGGAAUUCCCAGUAAGCGCGAGUCAUAAGCUCGCGUUGAUUACGUCCCUGCCCUUUGUACACACCGCCCGUCGCUACUACCGAUUGAACGGUUUAGUGAGGGCCUCGGAUUGGUCUCGGCCCGCUCUUUACCGGGCGGCGCCGUUGGUCGAGAAGACGCUCGAACUUGAUCGUUUAGAGGAAGUAAAAGUCGUAACA
rnacentral:rRNA from 1 species